rnacentral:rRNA from 1 species
AUACAGAGGGUGCAAGCGUUAAUCGGAUUUACUGGGCGUAAAGCGCGCGUAGGUGGCUAAUUAAGUCAAAUGUGAAAUCCCCGAGCUUAACUUGGGAAUUGCAUUCGAUACUGGUUAGCUAGAGUAUGGGAGAGGAUGGUAGAAUUCCAGGUGUAGCGGUGAAAUGCGUAGAGAUCUGGAGGAAUACCGAUGGCGAAGGCAGCCAUCUGGCCUAAUACUGACACUGAGGUGCGAAAGCAUGGGGAGCAAACAGGAUUAGAUACCCUGGUAGUCCAUGCCGUAAACGAUGUCUACUAGCCGUUGGGGCCCUUGAGGCUUUAGUGGCGCAGCUAACGCGAUAAGUAGACCGCCUGGGGAGUACGGUCGCAAGACUAAAACUCAAAUGAAUUGGCGGGG